AACAAAUACGAAAGUCCAUUUCAAUAAAUCUUCAAUUUUUCCAAUUUUAGUUACCUAAAAAGAGCACUUAGAAAUGUAGAUGAAAAUACUAAAGAAUCAUUUACCGUAACCAAGUUGACUUAGUCUUUUUUAAGUGAAUGAAAGCUUCAAGAAAUUUCUUGAUAAGCUUGCAAAAACUUGUACUCUCCUCUUUCUUUCUUGCUCCUUUCUCUCCCUUUAAUCUUGUU
rnacentral:lncRNA from 1 species